UACAGAGGUCUCAAGCGUUGUUCGGAUUCAUUGGGCGUAAAGAGCGCGCAGGCGGCUUGGUAAGUCGGAUGUGAAAACCCGAGGCUCAACCUCGGGCGUGCAUCCGAAACUGCUCGGCUAGAGGUAGGUAGGGGAGAUCGGAAUUCCUGGUGUAGCGGUGAAAUGCGCAGAUAAUCAGGGAAGAACACCAAUGGCGAAGGCAGCUCCUCUGGGACGGUACUGACGCUGAGACGCGAAAGCGUGGGGAGCGAACAGGG
rnacentral:rRNA from 1 species